UUACUUCUUCUCGUCCAAACUCUUGAGGGAAGAAGAGAAUUAUAUAUAUAUAGAUAAGUACUUACAAAAAAAUUAACGGUCAAACUAUAUUUUUCCCAAUAUGGCUUACGAGGUAAUAAUUCGUUUCCUAACGAUAUAAUCAAAUUUCUAGGAAAAUCGUUAGAGCCAUUUUCGUAUUCGGGUCCACCCAGGUUUUUGAUUUUUGAGCCCCAUAAGGCUACAGGUUUUUGAUUUUUGAGCCCCAUAAGGUUAUAGGUUUUUGAUUUUUGAGCCCCAUAAGGUUAUAGGUUUUUGAUUUUUGAGCCCCAUAAGGUUAUAGGUUUUUCAUUUUUGAGACCCAUAAAGUUACAGGUUUUUGAUUUUUGAGCCCCAUAAGGUUAUAGGUUUUUGAUUUUUUAGCCCCAUAAGGUUACAGGUUUUUGAUUUUUGAGCCCCAUAAGGUUAUAGGUUUUUGAUAUUUUAGCCCCAUAAGGUUACAGGUUCUUUUUAUUUUUGAGCCCCAUAAGGUUACAGGUUUUUUAUUUUUGAGCCCCAUAAGGUUACAGGUUUUUUUAUUUUUGAGCCCCAUAAGGUUAUAGGUUUUUGAUUUUUAAGCCCCAAAAGGUUACAGGUUUUUGAUUUUUGAGCCCCAUAAGGUUACAGGUUUUUGAUUUUUGAGCCCCAUAAGGUUAUAGGUUUUAGUUUUUACGAAUGUACGAGUUGAACAGAGGUAUUGUAAAAAAAUAGAUCUAAAUGUGUGAAUGUUGUUUGUAAUGAAAUGUAGAACACUCGCUGAUGACAGAAAAAACUAUUGUUGCUUAAAAGUUGUUUGUUUUUAAAUGUAUCAAAAUAUGCCUCUGAAAAAGACAAAGUGCUCCCACGAGGGACAAACAUUUGAGGCUCAGAGGAAAGACAGGCGCAGAAAACCUAAGAAAUACUUAAACAGACCACUGGCGCACAAAGGCUUUGUCUGCAUGUAAUAUGAAAAAAUAUUCACGUCCUAACUGGGCUUGCGUUGCCCUGUGAAAUCAUGAAUUAAUCCUUUAUGUUUAAUGUCAAGGACAUUGUUAUCUGUAGAUCAAGAGAAAGCAUUUGAUAGAGUCAGCCAUAAUUACCUCUUUAAAGUAUUAGAAAAAUGUAAAAUCAGCCCUUUUAAAUAAAAUUUAUUAAACUAAUUUACACCAAUGCCAACAGUAGACUAAUAAUCAACCAUUAUUUAAGCCAAUCCUUUCAAAUUCAAAAAUCUGUUAAACAGGGCUGUCCUUUAUCCCCCUUUUUAUACAUCCUUUGUCUAGAACCUAUUCUAGAAUCUAUUAGGUCAGAUCCAUCUAUCAAAGGAACAAAAAUCCCGGGACCCAUCCCAGUAGUCAAAGUUAAGGCCUAUGCCGACGACACAACAUUUUUUCCCUCCUCUGAAAAUGAUAUUAAUAACAUAGUUAAAACGUUUACAUUUUUUGGCCAUGCUAGUGGUUCUAAAAUUAACAUAAAUAAAUCCUCAAUAAUGGGUGUAGGGAGGUGGACAUUUAAGGAAAAAUAUUCUUUUAAAAUUGUAAAUAAAAUCAAAAUAUGUGGUAUAGAAUACAAUAGUAAUCCUUUUUUCUUCUGUGAAGAUCAGUGGAAAAAAAUUAUUAUUAAGGCAUCCAAUAUAGUUAACAUGUACAAGCAUACAAGUUCUACCAUUUUUGGUAGAGCCAUUCUUAUAAACAAUUUGGUCAUCCCAAAGAUAGUCUAUCUAGCCAAUAUUAUAGAACCUCCUACAAAAUACAUAUUUCAAUUAAAUAACAUAAUUAGAAGUUUCAUUUUCAAAAACACACUUAAAAACAUGAAACAUACUACAAUCAUCCAAAACAAAGAGGAUGGGGGGAUCAAUUUACAAGACAUCAAAACUAAAAUAUGUGCACUCAGAUUAAAAUUCAUAGAUCAAGUAGUUAAGAAUCCAAAUGAAUUUCCCUUUACAAUAUAUUAUUAUGGUUUGAGAUUAAGCAGUUUAAUUUGAAUACAAAACAACAAUCCACACUAUUUUGGUACAAACUUACAUCCUUUUUAUAGAUCCAUUUUAGUGACUCUU